GAUGAACGCUAGCUACGUGCUUAACACAUGCAAGUCGAGGGACAACAUGGAAAAACCUUGCUUCUUCUGGCGGAGACCGGAACACGGGAGCAUAACGCAUAUCACACCUGCCUCAUACGCGGAGAUAGCCUUGCAAAAACAGCAUUAAUACCCGAUGAUGUUAUCUCACCGUAUGGGAAUAUAAACAAGUAUUUCUCAUGAUGAAAUGGUGACGCAUCCAAUUAAGUACUACGCAGUAUAACGGCCCACCUAUCCUUCCAUCGGAAGGGGAUCAGAGAGGAACGGCCCCCACACAGGAACUGACACACUGGCACUAAUCCUACGGCAAGACUCCUAGAGGAAGAUUGGUCGAUGAACCAUCCUCUGAGCCCGACAAUCAGACUGAACGACGACGGCCCUCCGAGGAGUAAACUGCCUUAGUUGGGAACAAAAAAUAGGACCUGUCCGCUGUCGUAUGUACCUUCAGAAAGAUGAACGGCUAAUUACGAGCCAGCCACCGCUAAAAUACUGACAGCCCACGCGUUAUCCCGUAUGAUGGAAUCUAAAGGCAGCAUAAGCGGAUUAUUAACUCAGCGAUGAAAGACGGUGGCUCAGCCAUCGUUAGUCAUUGAAACUGGCAAUCUUGAGUGCCGAAAAGGAUGCUGGAACUCCUGGUGUAGCGGUGAAAUGCUUAGAUAUCACGAUGAACUCCGAUCGCGAAGGCGAGUGUCCGGACUAGAACUGACGCUGAGGCUCGAAAGUGUGGGUAUCAAACAGGAUUAGAUACCCUGGUAGUCCACACAGUAAACGAUGUAUACUCGCGGUUUGAGAUAUCUUGUAAGCGAGCAAGCGAAAUCAUUAAGUAUACCCCCCGGGGAGUACGCCCGACCCGGUGUAAAUCAAAGGAAUGGAGGGGGGCCCGCCCACACGGAGGAACAUGUGGGUUAAUUGGAUGAUCCCCGAGGAACCUUACCCGGGCCUGAGAUAAGAGUGACCGAUGUAGAGUUAUAUUUUUCUUAGGCCAGUAUACGAGGUGGUGGCAUGGUGGUCUUCAGCUCGUGUCCGUGGAGGUGUGGGCUUAAGCGCCAUAACGAGCGCAACCCUUUUCUUUGGUUGCCAUCAGGUAAUGUGGGGCACUCCAGGGAUACCCGCAUGCUAAGAGGUGAGGAAGGUGGGGAGGAGGUCAAUUCUGCUCGGCCCUUAGGUCUGGGGUUCCCCAGGUGUUCCAAUGGGGGGUACAGAAGGUCGCGAGAUGGUGACAGGAUGCUAAUCUGCAAAACCUUUUUCAGUUUGGAAUGGAGUGUGCAACCUGACUCCAGGAAGGUGGAUUUGGUAGUAAUUGCGCAUCAACCAUGGCGCGGUGAAUACGUUCCCGGGCCU
rnacentral:rRNA from 1 species